rnacentral:rRNA from 1 species
UUAGUCGGUCUCGGAGCAAACGAAGUGAAGCAUGUUAUUUAAUACGAAAGUACGCGUAAAAUCUUACCAGUUCUUGUAUAUCCAAUCCCUCUUUUUAUGAAUUAAUUUUUAUAUGCUGGAUGUGAACUACUCGUUUUGCUUUCAGAUAUAAAAUUUAUUAAAUAUUAAAAAGAUGGUUAUAAUCUAUUAAAUUGCGAAAAACCAAAGGAUUAUACAAUUCGUUUACAGGUGUUGCAUGGCUGUCGUCA